AUGCAGGAUUACCAACAAUGGGUGAACAGCCAGCUCUCAGAGGCGGCGGGCUCCGCUCCGCACCGAGUCUCUGCGUUUCCAGUGGGUGGACAAGGCCUUGGCAGCGACCGCUUGUCUGCUGUGGGCGCUUUCUCUGCUCUUCUGCCCGCGCUUCCUUUUCCUGGAAGGAUUUCAUACGUGAUAUCACUGGGUUCCCAGGCAGUGUUCUGUGCACAAGAUGCUUUCUCCCCCCGUCUUGCUCGUCACAGAUUAGCCUCUGUGAAUCCUGGGAACAGGGACACAGAAGGCUCAGUGUCCAUUGUCUGCGUGCGUGCGCGUGUGUGUGUGAAAGUCCCGCGGACAAAGGCCCUUUCUCUCUGCUCUGAAUCUCCCCUCUGUCCCCUCCUCCUGGCGGGCGGCUCUCCAGGAACAAACGGGAAGACUCGUGGUGACCGACCUCUGCUGCCCAAGGAGGUCCUUGCACUGGAGCAAAGAACGUUUAUUGUUAAGCCCUUACCAUUUUUGUUGACGAUCAAAGAGUUUUCUUUGAUGUUGCUUGCUGUAUUCUUCUCAAAAGAGGUCCAGAUUUCCCACCUGGAGUCACUUUCCUUGUCUGAAUUACACCUGUUAGCGCUUUCAGCUAGUGGCAGAGUCUCCGGGUUUCUGUUUGUCUGAAAACCCAUCGGCCCUGCCUUCGAUCUGGGGAGAGAUGCUGUCUGGGUAUCGGAGAUGGUCCCAGUGGGGAGGGCGCCCUCCGGUUCACUGCUCUGGGGGACGCUGCUGGCCGCCCCCCAGACUCUGGGGGCAACCCCGAACUCCUCUCUGCCUUCUUGGUAAGCUUUUAUGUCUUUGUUUGCUUUUCAGGUUUCUUUUUAUGUGAUCCAUUUAGGUGUGCAUUUCUUUGUAUUUCUUCUGCUUGGAACUUGUUAGUAUUCUGGAAUCUGUGCACUUGGUAUUUUUCAUCCAUUCUGGAAAAAUUUCAUCAUCUCUUCACGUUUUGGCUCUGUGUCACUCUCUAAUAAAGCAUAUUUUAGAAUGUUUUUUAUGCAUGGGGUGGUUUUCAUGGAUCGUUCCUUCUCUUUGAU
rnacentral:lncRNA from 1 species